rnacentral:rRNA from 1 species
GACGAACGCUGGCGGCGUGCUUAACACAUGCAAGUCGAGCGGAAAGGCCCCUUCGGGGGUACUCGAGCGGCGAACGGGUGAGUAACACGUGAGUAACCUGCCCCUGACUUUGGGAUAAGCCUGGGAAACCGGGUCUAAUACCGGAUAUGACGCGUCACCGCAUGGUGUGCGGGUGGAAAGUUUUUCGGUUGGGGAUGGGCUCGCGGCCUAUCAGCUUGUUGGUGGGGUGAUGGCCUACCAAGGCUUCGACGGGUAACCGGCCUGAGAGGGCGACCGGUCACACUGGGACUGAGACACGGCCCAGACUCCUACGGGAGGCAGCAGUGGGGAAUAUUGCGCAAUGGGCGGAAGCCUGACGCAGCGACGCCGCGUGGGGGAUGACGGCCUUCGGGUUGUAAACCUCUUUCAGCAGGGACGAAGGGUUUCUGACGGUACCUGCAGAAGAAGCGCCGGCUAACUACGUGCCAGCAGCCGCCGUAAAAC